AUUAAUUGUAACUUUUUAAUGUACCAAGGAUAAUAAUGAUCUAAUUUGUUCCUAUUGGAUAGCCAAACAAGACUUAUUCCUCUCUCAUAGUCUCUUCUGUUCCAUAGCACCGAGACUCAGAAAUUGGGUGUCACGUGUAAACUGCCAUUUUCAAGGACUAUCUCCUCGUUUCUGGUAUUCCGACCGGCGAAUUAGCCGUUUUCCGGCGAACCCAUUAUGGAGAAAGAGCCUCUCCUCCCUUAUGUCAGCCCGAGGACACCACCCCACCCACCCCCAUACCCACCCCCUAUCUCCCUUUGCCCUUUGCCUGAAGACAAUGAAAUUUCAAUCCCUCCCCCUCUUACCCCUUCUGAACUCAAAGAACGCCUUAUCUUUGGUCCCUCCGAAGCUUCUGCCACUGCUCUUGAUGCUUUCACCUUUAACAACUUCAUCUGUCCUGAGCUCUCUGCUUCUUCUUCUUCUGCCCAAAAAUCCAAUCUUGAAAACACUGAUAUUAACAAUUCUUGGUUGCUUGACCCAAAUUAUCCUUCUUGGACUAAGAGUAAUCUUCAUAGGUCCAAAACUGCACCAGCUAUGGCUGCUAUUAAUGAUAUUGACCAUUCACCAGUUCCUAAGCCACCCCAGUUUGGUAAAAAUACAAUUGUAGGACAAGGUGUUGUGCUUUUGAUUCUUUACUUGACUCUUGGUGUGGGUAUUUAUUCUUUAUUUAAGGAUCAUUUUAAGGCUACUGAGACUCACCCUGUUGUUGAUGCUUUGUAUUUUUGCAUUGUUACUAUGUGUACUAUUGGUUAUGGUGAUAUAACUCCUGAUAGUACACCUACCAAGUUGUUUUCCAUCUUGUUUGUGCUUGUGGGGUUCGGGUUUAUCGAUAUUCUGCUUACUGGGAUGGUUAGUUAUGUGCUUGAUUUGCAAGAGAGCUAUCUGUUGAGGAGUAUUAAAAGUGGGAGUGUACAUGAUGCUAGGUCUUAUAUUAUUGAUGUGAAGAAGGGGAGAAUGAGGAUAAGAAUGAAGGUGGCACUGGCAUUGGGUGUUGUGGUCCUGUGUAUCGGAAUUGGGGUUGCGGUUAUGCAUUUUGUUGAGAAGCUUGGGUGGUUGGAUGCAUUUUAUUUGUCAGUUAUGUCGGUUACCACUGUGGGGUAUGGCGAUAGAGCGUUCAAUUCAAUGGCUGGUCGUAUCUUUGCAUCCAUUUGGUUGCUUGUGUCUACACUUGCAGUUGCUCGAGCCUUUCUUUACUUGGCUGAGGCGAGAGUAGAUAAACGUCAUAGGAGAAUGGCAAAAUGGGUGCUCGAUCAGGAUUUGACUGUUUCACAAUUUCUUGCUGCGGACAUUGAUAAUAAUGGAUUCGUGAGAUUACAAACGAUUGCUUGAAUCGUGAAUUUGCCAGUAGUUGCCAUCCAAGAUACGGUCUGGCUUAAUUUGUUGACAUCGGUCCAUUUGGAAAUGGCCUUGCUUGAAAAUGCAAAAUAACCUACGCGAAAUAUAACUGCCCAUAACCUAAUUCAGAGAAAAGGUACAGUACAUGGUACGUAGAGAUGAAAAAAUCCUCUUUGUUGCACCUCCACUUUCUUAUAUAUUUGGUUCUUUUGCACUUAAAGUGACCACGCUGAUCAUAACACUUAUUUGUUGCCAAGCCUGGUCAUUUUAGCUUCACUCUCACAACUUGUCUGUGCUGUACGAAUUGAAACUGUAUUUACUGUUUUACCUCCAAUGCAAGCAAUGCUUUGAUCUUGAUCUUCCUGAUGUUUGUAUAUUUGGUUGGUAUUUGUCCUCCUUUCUACAGCUUUCAGAGAUAUGCUAGCCAGAUGAAUUUAGCAUAGAGAAGUUACUAGAACUUGAAGAAGUUGAAAGCAUGUUGAUUUUUAAGUUUAGAUGCAGAAAUAGGCAGAAACUGCGACCAUCAUACAUAUGAGUGUAGAAGAUUCUAGUUAACAUGCAGGGAUAAUUUAGCUUUUCCAUUCCAUUAAUAGAGCACCAAAAGGGUAAAAUGUGGUUUUGGUUUGAUUUCUGCCUGCGGCUACUUACUUUUUGAACCUUUAUACUUGAUUUAGUCCUGUUAAGGAAGAAGUCUAAACUUUUAGAUAUGUAAGAUCUAUACGUCCUGUAAGCUCUCCAAAAUCCGUAGGUAGUUAAUGGUUGUUAAUGACACUUCUCGUAAAAAUUGUUUCAGUUUAUGAGAUGCACUCAUUGCAUAUUUUGAUAGCUUUAGAUUUCAUUCCCCUUCUCUCCUUUUUGUAAUGCUUCCUUUCUUAUCUUUUUAUCCAGUUAUAGUAUUGCACACAGUCAUCAUGCAUCAAUAGUUUAUUAAAUAUUAUAAUUUGCUCAGGAUGAAAUAAAAAUCGUUCCAGAGUACAUUGAUCUACAAUCAACAAAAAGAGGCACCAAGUUAGGAAGAUAGGAGGAUAACACAUGACAGCCAGAGUAAAGUAAACUAGUCCAAAAAUAUUACCAUCAGUUUGAGUUAUAUCAGAGAGUCAUUCUUUUUAUUGCUCAUGUACCUAGUAUACCUUGUACAGACAGUAAUUGUUAAAAAAACCUGAAUAUGCCUGCCAUAAGUUUAGUAGCUUACAUAGCUCGUAAUAAGGUGUACUUGUUAGGAACCCUUAAUGAUAGUGCUAAGACAUUAAAGACGAAAAAAUUUAGUGAUUCGGUAAAUUUUAACUUUAAUUGUUUGAGAGGAGCAUAUCGACUUUAUUCAGAAUAUAUAACAAAGAGUACGGAUUUAGACUCGGUAAUCUAGUUAACCCAAACCAGAGAGAAUCACCUUACAAAGUUCACUCACAAAGAGGUUUGUACAAAGUGUUUUCAAUACUGACUUUUCUCACAAUAUUACUCUUUACAAGAUCCCAAAAGGGGAAAAUAACAAGAGACAAGACUGAAGAGUUGAGCUAAUGCAUGAUGUCUGAUAGAUAAAACAUGCCCAUUUAUAGGCAAGAACUAGUGUUAGUUCUACAUCUUGAUCCGUGAACUGCCAGACAUCCACUCCACUCCACUCUACGGUUAUAUGGUCUGCAAGACAUUAACUUAAUCAAAGUAGGAGCCAUUAAGAAUAAUCUUCACCAGAAACAAAGUUCCUGAUCCAAAAAAAAAAAUCUUCAUCACAAGCAGGGUUGGUCCCAUAAUUUGAAGGCGGCAGGUGCACCAUUACGGUUAACAGACAACUAACAAUGGCCUUAAAGUGUGAGUGGUGUGUGUUUGUUCGGUUCGAUAUGAUUUGGUUUCAUUAGGUUUGGUUUUUGAUUCUUUUUGAGUUAAUUCGUUUCGUUUUAUUUGGUUUUGAAUGAUUAAUAUAUAAAUUGAUCACCUCGUCGAAAUGAAUUCGAUAUGAUUUUUCUGGUUCAACUUUUUAUUCAGUUAAGAUGGCAACAAUCUCUACUAUGCACUGUAGUAACAAUUCCAUGUAUAAGGAUGAAGUAACAUGGACCUUUCAUUAUGUAGCUUUGUUGCUAAUAAGAAUAUGUUACACACCAGAAGGGAUUUACUCAUGCAGUACACCAAUUAGCAAGACCAUUUUAAAAAUCUGCCAUCUCUAACUCGAGAGAGAAGAGUUUUAGCUAAUAACCAUGAUACUUAAUUCUCAAGUUGCUUAUUAAAGGUGAUAUCUCAAGAUUCUUGGAGCAUUUUCAGUAAAUUUAUUUAGCAUAGCUAAGCUAACAGCUUAAGUAUGCUUCUUGUCCUAGGUCUGUGUCUUUUGAAAUACUUGCAAACUCUCAUCUCAUGGAUAAACUUUGGCAUCCUUGUCCCUGUUUAUAUUCAUGGGCUUAUUCUGAUUCCACUAGCUUAUGAACCAAUCAACUACGUAGAUCAGUUAUUCUAAACAGCCCUAGCAAUUGUUUCAGUGGCAGUGAUAGUUAAAGUUGAGUGUUGGUCGUAGUAAAUUUAAUCAAGUUAUUUGGCUAGAUGAGAGUCUUUUGUUUUGCUACUUUUGGGUUGAGACUGCAUAGAACUUUAGGAUCUCUACCUUUCACAUUCAAGCAUAUGCCAGAUUGAUUUCUGACCUGUAUCCAAGUAUAGAUAGUUGAUGAAUCAUUUUACCUACUAAUUCGAGGCAUGGUCUAACCACAUACUAAAGGUCAGUAAAUAUCUUUUGUACACGGACCUCGAUCAAUAUUGGCAGAAAUGCACUGACUCAUUUCAGAUUUACAUUUUGGUAUCCCCUUAUCCAUGGAAGUCCUAAUAACUUUAAUACAACUAAAUAAAGUUAUUAGGAUUCCAUGGACAAGGGGAAACCUUUGUAUGUUAUAUGGACAGUCUGGCUAGAGAGGAACGGCAAAUGUUUUGAAGGGGAAAAAGACCAUAUUUCAUAUGUAAAAUAUAGAUGUAAAGAAAAGUUACUCUUUUUAUGGAAAAUUUUUGUAUAUAGCCUGACAAAUAUUUUGUUAGACCCUCUGAAGCUUGUGGAGGACAAGUCCUUAUUUUUGUACAUAUUUCCUGUACUUUCUUGGUACUUUUUAUUAAUUAAAUAGCUUAUGUUAUAAAAAAGAUUAUUUUGUUGCUUCUCCUGUCUUGGGAGAAAUUGGCGUUUCAUGCCUAAAUAAAUACUCAUAUAAAUCCAAACUAUUCUGUGGUGAUGUUGCCUAGAAAUGAAUCAUAAGAAAUCUUUAGUUUGGCUCUUCCCGUCUUUGAAUUUAACUGGUAUUUUCAACUUUCAAAUUUAACUUAGAAUUGUCAAAUUAUCUGAAUCCUCUUUUCCAGUGACUGCCAUGAAUAUUUGUGUGGGUAUAAUUGGGUUUAUGAUUUUUGGGCCUUUCUGUGAAGCUGUGCGAUGAAGCUAAGGUAGCUUGAGUUCUUCUAGUCUAACCCAAUCAUGAGAGCGUACAGUGCGUGACUCUAAUAUAAUUGCAAGUAAAGCAGAAUAUGUGAUAUACAAACUAAAGGAGAUGGGGAAGAUCUCAGACAAG